AAAAAUAUAAAUUCAAAUCUUUCAAUGUAUAUCAAUCCUACAAGAAAAAGCUUUGUAAUUACUCAACAUGUAAACAUAGUCGCCUGAUUAUGAAGACUAGCUAAAAGAGUCUGAACUAUUACUUCUGUCAUCUACUCCUAUUUAUUGAAUAAAUAAAUAAAAGGAAAAGAGCAUAUAACAGUGGAACUUUUCCCACUACUAUUAUACAUUUAUGAAGUUAUAUGAUAUACAGGAUUAACAACUAAUUGGAGUUUACGGAAGCAACUGUUAAAAGAUUGGCAUCCUCUUUCGUUUCUACAUGUGAAUGUGAAUUGGAUUCUACUAAACUAACUCUUAAAAUACGAUCAGCCUCUUCUAUGUCUAUAUAUGAAUUUGAGGAAUCAGUAUAAGGAUCAUUUGUAGACAGGCUAUGGGUCUGGCUUGGGUUCUGCUGCCAGAAGUGAUUUCUUAUAGCCUUGUAUUUUGAGUUGAUGGCUGAAAACCCAGGAUCAGAAAGAAGGUCUUGAAUGGCCGUUCGACCUUCAAGCAUGCUUACAACUUGAGACAUUGUAGGCCUCAGCGUUGGGGAUGCAUUGGUACACAACAGAGCUACAUUUAGCAUCAACAUUGCUUCCUCUGAUGAAUAGGCUGACCCCAACUCUGGAUCAACCAGCUCCAGCAUACUUCCUCUCUCUUGCAAAACAUAAGCCUGGUACAAGUCCAAGCAAGUAAGGAUGAAAAGAAUCAUUUCAGCUUAUAGGACAAUCAUUUUAGACGAUAGUCAUUUGUAGAUGAGUUAUUUGGGAAUGUCAGUAAUAUUAAAUUUGAAUCCAGAAAUGAAACAUAGGAAUAACAAGUUGACUUUGUAAAUGAUAAAUGAUGUUUUCUUUUUGAUUUGCAAUAGGAUGAAAAAUGAGAAAAAAUUUUCCAACUGCUUUAAAAUUCUAGUAGAUCCUCAUAAUUUCAUCUUAAUUGUUAGCAAGGAAGAAGCUAGGAAAGGAACUAGUUCUCAUAAUGGAGCAAAGGAAAGAAAUUUUGAAGCUAUCCAAUUACCCAAUCAAGAAGGUAAACAAAUUCCUCCUUUGGCCUGUAAUUUGUGUUGCUCUUUCCACUAACAAUUUCCAAUGCAACAACUCCAAAGCUAUAAACAUCUGCUUUGUUAGUUAAGUAACCACGCAUUGCAUACUCUGGAGCCAUAU
rnacentral:misc_RNA from 1 species